rnacentral:tRNA from 1 species
GCCCCGGUGGUGUAGCCCGGUCAAGCAUAGUACCCUCUCGAGGUAUUGACCCGGGUUCAAAUCCCGGCCGGGGCACCA